GACGUAGGGCGCGAGCGUUGUCCGGAUUUAUUGGGCGUAAAGAGCUUGUAGGUGGUUUGUCGCGUUGUUCGUGAAAUCUCACGGCUCAACUGUGAGCGUGCGGGCGAUACGGGCAGACUAGAGUGCUGCAGGGGAGACUGGAAUUCCUGGUGUAGCGGUGGAAUGCGCAGAUAUCAGGAGGAACACCGGUGGCGAAGGCGGGUCUCUGGGCAGUAACUGACGCUGAGAAGCGAAAGCGUGGGGAGCGAACAGG
rnacentral:rRNA from 1 species